rnacentral:rRNA from 1 species
GACGAACGCUGGCGGCGCGCUUAACACAUGCAAGUCGAACGGAAAGGCCUGCUUUCCCUUGUGGAUUGCGGGUACUCGAGUGGCGAACGGGUGAGUAACACGUGAGUGAUCUGCCCCCAACUUGGGUAUAAGCCUGGGAAACUGGGUCUAAUUCCCGAUAGGACUGCAGGGUGGUGCCUGUGGUGGACAACGAUUUUCUAGUGGUUGGGGAUGAGCUCGCGGCCUAUCAGCUUGUUGGUGGGGUAAUGGCCUACCAAGGCGGCGACGGGUAGCCGGCCUGAGAGGGUGGACGGCCACAUUGGGACUGAGAUACGGCCCAGACUCCUACGGGAGGCAGCAGUGGGGAAUAUUGCACAAUGGGCGGAAGCCUGAUGCAGCGACGCCGCGUGGGGGAUGACGGCCUUCGGGUUGUAAACUCCUUUCGACCGCGAGGAAGCCACCUGGUUGGAAGGGUGGUGACGGUAGUGGUAGAAGAAGCACCGGCUAACUACGUG